rnacentral:lncRNA from 1 species
GACGCUCAACGCCGACUAAUGUGUAAGUAAUAGGGUUAGCAAUAAGCACCAAAAUAAGUUCAUUAAAAUUCAAAGCUAGACACUACCCAUUCAUAAAUUCAUCCAUUCAGAUUAAUCUAUCUAAAUAGAUUGCUCUUAUUUGCCAGCACCGUAAAAACAGAACAUUUAGAUGCAGCACGCGACAAGUGAGACUGUACCAACGCAACAAAAACAGAACAUAUUUUUCAACAUACACAUACACAUACACAUACACAUACACAUACACAUACACAUACACAUACACAUAUUACAUACAUACAAACAUAUACAACCUGCGGAAAUGUGGAUACACAAUCACACAAGAUGUAAAACCAGAGCGCGCCACGGUGAACACAAAGCAGCACGCUUAUUCCAGCUUCGACUCCAGUCCACAGG